CUGUUUCUUAGUUUGAAUGGGAGGACUCCUUUCUCUCUCACACCUUUCUCCUGGUCUAAUGCUCCUUUUAAGGAAGGUGGAAGGAACAAUGGAAGAAUGCUUGUAAAGUAAUGUAUUCUUAAGAACUAAAGCUAUUUGCAGAAGGGCCGAAGCUAUGUGGUGUGAAAGGGAAAUGAAGAGGGUGAGUUGGGGGGCUCGAGGAGGCAAUCUUAGAAGAACCCAGUGAGUAGCCUGGAGGGUGUUAGGGCCAGGAUGGACCUGGUGGGUGGAUCACAUA
rnacentral:lncRNA from 1 species